CCUUGGAGACCACGUUUUUCAGAUGGAGUAGCCUCAAGGAGAAAAGCUGCAACACCGCAUCUGACUUCACACUGGCAAGAAACAAACCAGCAUUUUGUUCCCUGACUGGAAUCUCUUGAAAACCUGGAAAUCCACACAAAAAUUCUAUGACUAUUAAGAGAAUUUGUCAAGGACUGCAAUCAAACCAACUAUAAGAAGCCAUUGCAGUGGUAUCACACUCCUCAAGCAGCAGAAGUGGCCCUGCGAAGCUGCAUUAACUUUGGACUGUGUCUAUGAUUCAUCAGUACUCAAAGAUGUCUGGAUGGCCAAGUGAUUAUUUCUACUCAACAGAUACAUAUCUGGGCAGCCCCGGUGGCCAGCGGUUUAGCGCCACCUGCAGCCCCGGGUGUGAUCCUGGAGACCAGGAU